AUUGAACGCUGGCGGCAUGCCUUACACAUGCAAGUCGAACGGCAGCAUGGUGCUUGCACCUGAUGGCGAGUGGCGAACGGGUGAGUAAUGCAUCGGAACGUACCCGGAAGUGGGGGAUAACGUAGCGAAAGUUACGCUAAUACCGCAUAUUCUGUGAGCAGGAAAGCGGGGGAUCGCAAGACCUCGCGCUUCCGGAGCGGCCGAUGUCGGAUUAGCUAGUUGGCGGGGUAAAGGCCCACCAAGGCAACGAUCCGUAGCGGGUCUGAGAGGAUGAUCCGCCACACUGGGACUGAGACACGGCCCAGACUCCUACGGGAGGCAGCAGUGGGGAAUUUUGGACAAUGGGGGCAACCCUGAUCCAGCCAUGCCGCGUGAGUGAAGAAGGCCUUCGGGUUGUAAAGCUCUUUCGGCUGGGAAGAAAUCGCAUCUCCUAAUACGGGGUGUGGAUGACGGUACCAGCAUAAGAAGCACCGGCUAACUACGUG
rnacentral:rRNA from 1 species